UACGAAGGGUGCAAGCGUUACUCGGAAUUACUGAGCGUAAAGCGUGCGUAGGUGGUUUGUUAAGUCUGAUGUGAAAGCCCUGGGCUCAACCUGGGAAUUGCAUUGGAUACUGGCAGGCUAGAGUGCGGUAGAGGAUGGCGGAAUUCCCGGUGUAGCAGUGAAAUGCGUAGAGAUCGGGAGGAACAUCUGUGGCGAAGGCGGCCAUCUGGACCAGCACUGACACUGAGGCACGAAAGCGUGGGGAGCAAACAGG
rnacentral:rRNA from 1 species